rnacentral:rRNA from 1 species
UACGUAGGCAGCAAGCGUUGUUCGGAGUUACUGGGCGUAAAGGGUGUGUAGGCGGUUGGUUAAGUUUGGUGUGAAAUCUCCCGGCUCAACUGGGAGGGUGCGCCGAAUACUGAGUGACUAGAGUGCGGGAGAGGAAAGUGGAAUUCCUGGUGUAGCGGUGAAAUGCGUAGAUAUCAGGAGGAACAUCGGUGGUGUAGACGGCUUUCUGGACCGUAACUGACGCUGAGACACGAAAGCGUGGGUAGCAAACAGG